UCCGGGGGGGGCAAGCGUUGUUCGGAAUUACUGGGCGUAAAGGGUUCGUAGGUGGCCAACUAAGUCAUACGUGAAAUCCCUCAGCUUAACUGGGGAACUGCGUCUGAUACUGGUUGGCUUGAGUGCAGGAGAGGAACGCGGAAUUCCAGGUGUAGCGGUGAAAUGCGUAGAUAUCUGGAGGAACACCGGUGGCGAAGGCGGCGUUCUGGACUGCAACUGACACUGAGGAACGAAAGCCAGGGGAGCAAACGGG
rnacentral:rRNA from 1 species